AAGCCACUGUUCCCGUCGCAGCGCGCGAGCUACUGUUCCGUCUCUACAAGAGUUGCCCGCCCCUUGCCGGGGUCCCUCCGCUAGUCGGGCCAAGCAGGCUGCCAGCAUCGCAGAGUCCAACAAGUUUCCAGGCGGCGAGUGCCAGCACACACACACACAGAUGGCCCGUGAACUUCAUCGGGUCGCUACUGUUCUUCCGCAUCUCUCACCUGCCCACGCCUGCGCGUUGCUCAUCUGUUAAUCAUUUGCCUUCGGUAUCGCCUCCGAUCCGCACUGUGCCCUUGUCAGCUAAUUUUAGCCACUGCACGCAGGGUCCUGCUGAUUCGGGAAAAAAUGUUUGCCAACUCUCCUUUUUGUGUGUUUUUAUUCACAUAUAGCAUCAAGCAGUGAAGUACUUAUACUCAAAUCAGAUGGAAACUUUCUUUCAAUGACAGUUGUUUUAUUAUUGUUUACAUCGUUUGAUUAAGUUUAAAUACAAGAAAGUCGUGUAUUUCAGACAAAAUAAAUUCAUCCAACUGAAAAUACUUUUUAAUCGUGAAGCAAAAUUCAUUAGGUGAGAUCCGAUGGUUUGUGAUUACUUGUUUUGUGGUUUGAGAAGUACAGCAGAUUCAGUGAUCGUGUUUGUAAGAGAGAUUGCAUCCCUGUGAUACGACCUCCAGUCCGUUGCCCUGACGAUGGGGUUUGUCGACUACCUCUCGUCGUCACGCAGGAUAGUGUAAACACGUGACUGCACGCGCUCCUGACGGUUUAAAGUGUCGCGCGUGCUACGUUCUCGAAGGAUUGUCUAGUCCAGGAACCUGCAAAUGCCGUGACUGGGGUGAAAGGAAUUUUCACAGUAUAACUUUGUGGACGUGUACCUGAGCAGACAGAGGCUCCCCACGACUCUCACGAUGGAAACUGAGCUCAACAUCACCAUGCUGCUGACCUCGUCGUCCCCGCCGUCCUUCAGUCCACCUACCCCAGUGUGGUGCACCAAAUAUCUGCGGGCACGUUAAGCCAACUGAAGCUUGGCGUCACUUCCGGCUCCAGAAGCACCGACCUGCUGGAGCUGGCUCUCAACGACAGCAAUUCAUCAACAUCUUCCGUGCUGAUGCAGGCUCCCACAUUUAAUGAGGUGAGCCUGACCAAAGCCGUUGUCUUCGGCGUCAUGUUCGUCAUCUCCUUCAUCGGCAACACAGCGACGUUGAUGCAGAUGUACAGACUGAGGAGACGAAAGUCGACUAUCAACACACUCAUCGUCAACCUCGCGCUUGCAGACCUUCUGGUCACCUUCUUCUGCAUCGCUGGCGAGGCCAUCUGGGCGGCCACCGUGCAGUGGCUUGCUGGAACCUUCACCUGCAAAUUGGUCAAGUACAUGCAGGUGUUUGCGCUGUACUUGUCUACAUACAUCACCGUAGCCAUCAGCCUCGACAGAUGUGUGGCCAUCUUGGAUCCGAUGAGGAGAAACGGAGCCACCUACAGGGUUCGAGUAAUGAUUGGUCUGGGAUGGGUGUUCAGCGCCAUCUUCAGCAUUCCACAGGCGGUGGUGUUUCAUGUCAUGCGAGGACCGUUCCAGGAGGAGUUCUACCAAUGUGUCACUUUUGGCUCCUACAAAGAAGAGUGGCAGAGACAGUUGUACUCAAUAGCCUCCCUUCUUCUCAUGUUUGUUGUGCCCCUUGUAAUCAUCGGUACCGCCUACGGCCUCAUCUUUACUACCAUUUCACGCAAGUCGCGUGAAGUUUCAGUCUUGGACAGCUUGAACCCUCUGAACAGACGCAAGGCGCUGAUAACUGUGCUCCGUCACUAUGGUCACGCGUGUCUCUGUGGGGAAGGAUGCGACCCCAAACUCUCCAGAGAAGAGUCCAUUGUCUCCUCCUGUUCAGGCGACGUCAAUGGAAGAGGCCCCGUGCGCAGUAACCUUCUGCGCAGGGCGAAGCGGAAGUCGCUGCGGAUGUCAGUGGUAAUCGUCCUGGCCUUCAUCAUCUGCUGGUCCCCAUACUACAUUAUUUUCAUCUGCAUCACCUUCUUGGACUGGCAGGAGAUCGACCCGCGGACCUUACUCUGGUUCUCGUUCAUCGGUUUGUCCAGUUCAAUGCUCAACCCAAUCAUAUACGGAGCCUUCCAACUUUGCAAGGUGCAUAAACCCAGGUCAUGGAGAAAAGGAGAAUGGCCCGGCUCCUCGUUAAAGGAGAUGGCCAAGUUCCGCGGCGCCCACUCCUCCAAGCCCCUGCUUGCCCCCCACCUCGCCCCACACGACACACGUGCUAACUGCCUGUCGUCUGCCACGUCGUCGGCCAGCUCCAGGGGCCGCCUGGUGACCGAGUGUCGCUGCGAGUCCUGCGCGCAGGAGCGACGACGACAGCUGAUGACGUCAUCACCCUUGCCGGACACGUGGCUGCGCAACGGACCCACCGGGGUCGUCCGGGAGGAGUGCCGUAGAUUCGGACACAAGCACCUUUUGCCUGGAGAUGUAAAGCGAUGUUGCUUUUUCCAUUCUUGCUGACUGCUGUGAAGUUUCCACAGACAAGGAAUAAAAUUUGUGUGUGUGUGAGAGUGAGAGAGAGAGAGAAGCAGUAAGAAGAUGAGUGUCAGAGUGAUUAACAUGUGAGAAUGGUCAAACGGUGAACCAUGUAUUUUUCUUGAUGAACUCAAACUGAAAUAAAUAUAAUGGUCUUAGAGUGAAAAGUUGGACACUCAAGUUUAUCUUAUUUUUAUUUGACAGGAUUACCGAUAUUUCAAAAAGUUUAUUAUGAUCCUGAACAAUGAAAUGCCAUAUUGGUUAUGUACUUCUGUUUCUAGUCAUUGUCGUCCAUAGAUGACUCUUGGUUUACAGCUGUGAUGGAGCUAAUUCCACUGAGAUUAUGUGUAAUUGAUAUUGCAUUGACGGACCAGCGAUUGUCGAUUUUUUUCCCUCUUGUGACCAGAAAUCAGUCAGUGGAUAACCGUGAAGAAUGUUACUUUGUGUUCUUUGUUUGAAAUUCUUCUUCGUACAAUUUUGAAAGGUUGAACAAUGAAAUUAUAAUAAUACUUUUCAUGUAAAUAUCAAUAUAUUUUUGUUUGUUUUCUUCAUUGACCUUAGUUUGCUCAAUGAGCAAAUGUCUGCCGAAAGAAGUUUGGCUUAAUUUGAGUUAGCAGACAAUUUAUUGCGGGUAUUCAGAAUAAAUGCAUCGCACCAUUGACUGGUAUUGUUCACAAUCACUUCUCUGCCUUGCUUCAACAAUCUUUCAAAUCCAGACCUUCUGUGCAAAAGCUGGAAUCUCCUGUAAAGAAAGCCUGAUGGUUGUCACUUUAUCAGACGGGUGAACUGUACUGUUGAUAUUUUUAUUGCUGUGUGAUGGGGCCCUAAAAGCCUACGUGCUUGAAAACGCUUUCACUCCUUUGGUAUUGAAAUGUUCUUUUGCCACAGAGACGAAAACAUAACAUCACUUAAAGGAUAAGCGUUGCCAUCUGUUUUCUUAAUGGGGUUAGCCAGUACACUUGUGCACCAGACUUUGAGGAAUGCCAAUGGAUUUGAAAUAAUCUUGGCGAGGACAGAAUGUGAGGGAGUGCGAGAAAGAUAUGACGAAACUUUUAGUAUUUUAUUAUGUUCUAGUAUUUAAAAUGAAAAAACUGCUGGGAAACAUUCUGAAAAUCUCAUACUUUAAAAUCGUGAAACAUAAAUUGUCUCUGUAUUUAGUUUUAAGUUGCCAGGACUCAAAGCAUUUAAUGUUCUGGGACACUUUGUAUGGAGUAUGAUCAAUUGUUUUAUUGUUCUCUUAUUUUGAAAUUGUCUUAUUCGUGAUAACUACAGUCUUUCUUACUGAUGAUGGGUACAGAAGUGCUUUCUUAGAAUCUUCUUUUCAUCAGCCUUUUGGACAAUAUAGUAAAGAAUUAACUUUUCAUUAGGGAGGAUGUCCAAUAAAUUUUCAAGGAAUACAAGAUUCAAAAGAAGAAGUCCUCAAGAACUGCUGCCUUUAUUCUAUAAGAGACUAGAUGAAGCGGAUGAAGCUUUGUCAAAGUCGUCCUAAGGUGUAACAAGAGAUGUCCAAGAACUUUGGCUUUUAUUCCUGGAGAUAAUGCGUCCUUCCGGCGUUGCCAGAGUUUUUCCAGAAAAGACUUCUCACGGAAGACUCCAUUGGACACAGUUCCCUUUUUCAAUCUGACAAUUUGGACAGUGAACAUUGUCACCAGAAAGCCGACAAAGAAAAGACUUUGAUUAUGCAAAGCUGCAUGCGUGAUGUCGUGUAUCACAAUUAUUACUGCACUUGAGAAUGACCUCAUUUCUUCACACAUUCGUUUGGCUUCAAAAAAGUUGCUGAAUUCGAGAACAGAAAUCCAGAAUCCAUUGGAAAGGAGUUUAUUGUGGUUGUGUGAUUACAGCCAAUGAUGGCCUAACCGACAUGCCUUGCAUCUGCAUCACCUGACCUUAUGUGCUUCACUCAAACGGAAAUUGUGUUCUGCUGGUUUGUGGUUAGAAAAAUAUGAUUCAUGGAUGUUUAACUCAGUGCUUUAGUGUGUGUGACAUCGCCAUCCUUUGAGUGCGUGGUUAGAAUACUUGUCAAAAGAUGGCGUGGAGCCUAUUUUUGUUUUAUUAUUUUAGAAAUGUCGUCAAAAUUGUUCAGAAUUACACAGAAAAGUAGAAAGAAAAUACGAAGUAGUAAAGCCAUAACGAAGAGAAUUUAAUACAGAUACAUGAUACCUCUAAUUAAGUUAAUCAAAAGAAAAGUCUUCGUUGCCGCCAGCACUUAAAGUUCUAAUUUGAGAAAUCGGAAAAAAAACUACCAAAUGGCUUAAAUGGCUUCUGUCUUUAGUUUUCCUUUUCAUCAACUGCACCAACAUCAAGACUGUCAUCAUCACACUUAACAGACAAGAAGUUCAGACAGUAUUAUUGAUGUUUUCUUUCUAUAUUUUUUUACUGGUCGCUUAGCCAGUUUUUUUCUGAUUUAAUUAGAGUAAUUUAAAAUCUUAGAUUAGCACGUGAUCAUCAUGGCAAACAAGAGCUCAGCCAAAAUAAUUAAAUUGAUGGCAAUGAACUGCAGGCGUUACAGUCAUCAUGGAUUCAAAGUAUUUUAAUUACUACAUUAAUUAGUAACGGAUAGACAUCUGAUCAUGGUUAGAGAUUGUUGAGGUCAGUAUCUAAUUUUCCUGUUCUAAUACUGUAUCUUUUUAUUUUAUAAAGCUUUAGGAUAAAUAAAAUAAAUGUAUAUAUUUUGUCAGUUAUCUAGCAAACCUCACCUAGCUGCAGAGCUAUUACAAUCAAAAAGAUUUCGAUAACAUUUUUGAAGCUCACAGUUUAUGUUAGCUGCAUAUUAGUUUUUCAUCUUGAGCUUUACCCUGUAGGUUAGCAUACAAACAGUUAAGUCAAUCUUGAGUCAUAUACAAAUAAAUGUUCAAGUUAUUGUCAAUAAAGCCAGUUUAUUUAGCUUUUUUUUAAAUGCAGUCGUUUUAUCUCUACAUCUAUUGAUACUGCAGAAAUUUUUUAAAAUGAAUUGAGUCAGGUUGCUGAUGAACAACAAACGUGUUUACCUUUUCCUUAAGUUGGAGAACCAGCAGGUCAUGUGAUCUGAAUGUCAUGUGGUCCGUGAAUCCUCCUGAAGUAGUCAUCAAGAUAUCCAUAUCUCACUCAGUCUCUCAAAUGCCCGAGGCGAGCAUAAAGCAAUGUUGUUUGCAGCGAAAACAAACAAUCAGCUCUUGAUGAACAUGCAUUUGUGUACACUGAAUGUUUACUUGCAGCGGCGAUGAUGUUGAUGCCGACGGCGAUAGAACACAAUGACGACUUACACGUGUUUUAUUGACAUGCGUGCGUGCGUUUGCGAAUGCGUUGAAUAAUUAUUGAAUAAUAAUUAAUUGAAUAUUAGCGCAGAAACGAGUCUAGGUUCUUAUACAUGAACUGCAGUUGUUAGCUAAUCCUACAUUCCAGGCAUGGUAAUAUUUUAAUAAAUAACAGAAAAAUAGCUAAAUUUUCGUUUUUUUAUUAUUUUCAUUGCCUUCCAUAAAUUGUGUCAUUAAUUUGCUGGUUUGGUCACAAUAUUAUUAUUAUUGAUGUGUUUGAACAUGAUGUACACAGUGUCUGACAUUUAAUCUGAAAGCAAUGGUGAGCAAUGUCAUAAAGUUGGAUCAAGUAAUUUCAUGUUCAUGUCCGCGUGUUUCUCUCCUCAUCUUUCACAGUAUUUCCCGGGGAAUUUUUUGGGUGCUUCUGUGUGUUUAAGUAUGAAUGUGAAUGUGAAUGUCAAUACUUGGCUUGUAUUAUUGCUGUAAACGACAAAUUUUUGAGUGUAAGUUAUUAUUUUCGAAAUAAGAUUAAUUAACACAUACAGACGUGCGCAUAUAUAUAUAUGAUCCGCAUGCACGAACAUGUUUUAUAGUGUAUGUGUGUGUGUGUGUGUGUGUGUGCUUGGGUGUGUGUGUGGCAUGUAAAUAUACAUAAAUUGAGUGCUUGUAUACUAUAUUACUUUUUAAUAACGUUUGAGAGAUACACUGCAUAGAUAUUCUGAAUAUUAAUUAGCUGAAUUCCAAAUGUUUAAGACAACAAACUUUGUUUACUUGUUUACUUUGACCUGUGUACAGCCUACAGGUCCCACGGGAUGAUAGGCAUCCACAAGAACUCACGUGCCAAGAAACUAAACUCAAAUGAACAAGAAAAGUCUUUCUUCCUCUCUAUCUUUCUUUUUCAUGGUGAUUAAAUGUCAAUCAUGGUCAUAAAA
rnacentral:misc_RNA from 1 species